UGUUUCGGCAAGGGGGUCAUCCCGACUUACCAACCCGAUGCAAACUGCGAAUACCGGAGAAUGUUAUCACGGGAGACACACGGCGGGUGCUAACGUCCGUCGUGAAGAGGGAAACAACCCAGACCGCCAGCUAAGGUCCCAAAGUCAUGGUUAAGUGGGAAACGAUGUGGGAAGGCCCAGACAGCCAGGAUGUUGGCUUAGAAGCAGCCAUCAUUUAAAGAAAGCGUAAUAGCUCACUGGUCGAGUCGGCCUGCGCGGAAGAUGUAACGGGGCUAAACCAUGCAC
rnacentral:rRNA from 1 species